ensembl:lncRNA
GUCAGGUCUGUGGUCAGAAAAGGAGGCCAUCAGCCCAGCUAGAGGAGAGACAAGGACACACAUGACUGCCCUCCUGUAACAACCCUCGUGUCCAGUACUGAACACAUCUGAAAGCAAGAGUUUAAUCCACAAUGCUUUGAGACCUCUCAGCUUUACGGCCCCUGACUGCCCCACCCCAGCCCACUAAAGACCUGUUGUCAAUGGAGACAGGAAAAGUAGGAGAAGCCAGACAGAGAGGAAAGAAGAAAAAUGAGAAGGGAACGAAGGAUGAAAGAAAGAGAGAGCAGGAGGGAAGAAGGAGGAGAGAGAGAAAGAGAAAAGAGAGAUGGAGGAAGGGAGAGGAAGAAAGAGGGAAAGAAAAUGAAAAAGAAGCAAACACACCAGCCCCCUCGGGUGAAACACCAGCAGCGCAGGGUGGCCUCAGGCCCUACCACCCCCAACCCCGCCAGAAACAUCAGUUCCUUGUGGGACGGAGACCAAAGUGUGGGGGCGGGUCCAUUACACCCUCCAACCUGUGGCCCACAUGCCAGCCUCACACACAGAUGGAAAAGUGAUGCGCUGUGCACGGAGCAGGGAGCCGGCUCCAGGGCUCUGCUCGUUCCAAGGCUGAUGUCUCCCUCUGGUCCUCCUGCCAAGAAAGUGAGAAAGCUCAGACAAGCCUCUCGGCCCGGCCAGCUGAGCUCAGCGCACGGGCAGCAGCCAAGGACACACAGGGCUUGUCCUGCCGCUCAGCCAGGAGGGGUGGGCAGGCAAGUAGAAAGCUGGGCCCCUGGCUUCCAAUGCUGCCCGCAUCAGGGUCAUCAGGGUGACCAGCCUGAGGUCUCCCUGCCGGGCUCCCAGAUGCUCUUCUGUCUCAGGAUAUGGCCCCGCGGGCUGAGGCAAGCCCUGACCUCAUGCGUGGUGUUGGGUCUGAGCACCGGUCCACAUGUGACCUCCCCAGGGCCCUGGAAUUCUGCUCCUCCACCCAGGACAGAACUGACUCGAGCGUAGGAUUCCUCUGGCAGCCUGCUUUCUGUGUCUGUUUCAGCCCCACAAAGUGUCAAGGAAGAACACGGAGAAAUCUGGACACUUUUCUGAAAACAUUUAAGUGAAAAAGAACUUUCUUUUCCUCCCUAUCUUCCAGGAAACCAUCUACCUUCACUGCUGUUGGAAAGGUGUUGUUUCCUGUGGUUUUAUAACGGGCUCCACACACCUAGACGUGAUCCAUGUUGGGACGGGGUGGUGUGGGGGAGAUGGUGGCGGGCAAGCCCGCGUCUUGACUGCCUCAGUUCCCUGGAAUCUUCGAGGAUAAAGGCAGGAGGCACUGGGGCUCAUGUCUUGUGCUUCCCUCUGUAUCUGUUUUUCAGGGCUGCCAUAACAAAUCACCGCAAACUUGGUGGCUUAACAAAACAGCAGUGUGUGUUCUCAGGGUUCUGGAGGCCAAGUCCUAAAUCAAGGUGUCAGCAGGGCUGCCUCCCUCUGAGGCUCCAGGGAGGGUCCUCCCUGCCUCCUCCAGCUCCCGGGGCUGCAGGCGUUCUUGGCUCGUAGGCACAUCAUCCCAGUCUCUGCACCGCGCCCCGCAUGCUCUCACAUAGUCUUCUCCCAGCGUCUCUGUCCCUUCUCCUUCUCUGUCGUUGAGGACAUUUGUCACUGGUCCUAGGGCCCUCCCAGAUUCAGGAAGACCUCAUCUUGCAAACUAGACCUCAUCAUAUCUGUGCAGAACUUGCUCCAAAUAAAGUCACAUUCUGACGCUCUGGGUGGACAUAGUUUUUGGAGGAAGAGAGCCAGUCAAGCUCCUGGAACCACCCAGUGCUGUGUGACCGUGGAUAAGUAAUGAGAUUACCAAGACAGAG